UCCAUCACUAACAGCUAAAGAAUGGCUGAGUGGAGAAAAAAACAGAAAUCCUAUUCUGAUAUCCAUGUAUGUAGACUGGGGCUGGAGCCAGAACCAAUUAACCAGUAGUUUAUAACCUGGAUUGUCAGUACUGAAUAAUUGCUGACAGAAACAAUGAGAGGAAGUGUAUAAUCAUUUCAGAAGAUAACAGAGUUGAUUGCCGAUAUCU